rnacentral:tRNA from 1 species
GGGCGUGUGGCUCAGAGGUAGAGCACUCGCCUAGCAUGCCUGAGGCCCUGGGUUCGAUUCCUCAGCACCA